UGCUUGGCCGAGUUCGAGUCCGCCGAGUGCAAUGGAGUCUUCUACCCGGUUUUGGAGAAAUUGACCGAACUCGAGUCUUUUAGAAAGAACUCUUAUCCGGCCGGACUCGUCAAAAAAGGUUACGUCAGAAAACUGGCUUUUCUUUGUCACGAAUUGACCAUGCACGUGCAAUUUUACAAAGGCCUUUGAAGUCCAAUAGGCCUAUACCUCAAAGAGCACCACGAGGGCCCAGAUUUAGCGAGCUUACUAGACUC